rnacentral:rRNA from 1 species
UACGGAGGGUGCAAGCGUUGUCCGGAUUUAUUGGGUUUAAAGGGUGCGUAGGCGGCCCGUUAAGUCAGUGGUGAAAGCCUCCAGCUCAACUGGAGAACUGCCAUUGAUACUGACGGGCUUGAGUACAGACGAGGUUGGCGGAAUUGAUGGUGUAGCGGUGAAAUGCAUAGAUACCAUCAAGAACUCCGAUUGCGUAGGCAGCUAACUAGGCUGUAACUGACGCUGAGGCACGAAAGCGUGGGGAUCAAACAGG